CUUAUAUAUUAACACAGUGAUUUCGAAGAACCCCAAAUCCUUGUCCUCCGAUAUGUCCACACUCGACCACGGUGCGCCGCCGUUCAGCCACUCGUUUUUCUUGAGAACUUCAUUGGCUGGAAGAAGACUAACAAGUCGACAUGCUGCGUGAAGAAAUUGCAAGGUAUGUUAACGAUUUUGAGUGAUUUAGAUCGAUCUAGGGUUUGGGUAAAAUCACUUUGGUGUUAAAAGAGGCAUUUUCGAUUAUGAUGAUUUGUAGGACCUAUAUACUUGGUUUUGGUUUCUUGUCCAGGAUCGAACAACCUCAUUUCGGUUGUGGAUUUUGGAUUUCGACCAAGUGAUUUUUGAAUAUUGCGUGUUCGAAGUCCAUUGCGAGACAUGUGUAUUAGUUUCUUUUGGUUAAUAUAUGUCUUUGACUCAGUUAGGGGCUGGUUAAAUAAGGGAAUAAACUCAUUCCCAUUUUCUGCCAAUUUUUAUAGUCAAAGGUUGGUUGUAGAUAGUGCAUUUUGACAAUGAGAUUUUUUCGAACACUUUCUUCUUUUGAAUGUAAAAGCUUGUUUCAGAAGCAUUUUGAUUUGAUUUCAUUUGUUGGAAUUGAUUUGAUUCCUUUAGUUACCAGGAUUCUAAGUGUGAAAAUAUCUGCUUGUUUUUUCCUUAACAAUAGGUGAUCGUUUUGGUUGUAUCAAUAGGCGAAAAUAGCUUGUCGUCUAAAUUUGGUUUAUACACUUCCUAGUAAGCAAAAACUGUUAUGGUUUGUUCAAAUUGGAAAUGUUGAAAGUUGAGAUGAUCCUCAUUUUUCUACUGGCCAAGGUAUUGUUUGCAGGAUCUGAAAGUUGGGACUUUGGUACAAUUUAUUUUGGAACAUGUAAGUUAUAAUUUAUAUAAUCUAUUUGUUGGAAAGAGAAAUGGUGCAUUUACCCAUUCAAAAGAAUUCAACAACGUAAAUAUGUUAUAAUUGAAAUUAAUUUAUAAUAACUUAAAACUCUAAAAUAGUAAUAAAAUAUGUCAUAGUAUAUCUUAAAGGUAAUGAGGAAUAUUAUCAAAUAUUUUGUGCUAAAAAAUCAGUGUUCAAGUCUAUUAUUGUGUAUGAUGGGAUUUUCUUACAUGGAGACAAUAGUCAGUUUUAUAAUACUUAUGACUAUGUUUGAGACUUAUCUUGAUCGGAGGCAGCAUGCUGCUCUUUAAGUUGUCACUAUUCCAAAACCUCUAAUAGGAGUAAUCAACCAAGAUCAUGACAUUGUUGCAGUUCAGAUCCUGACAUUGUUGCAUUUUGGAGGUUGUACCCUUGUUCGGAACUUUUUAGAAUUACUUGAGAGUUUUGGAUUUGACAAACAUCCUGUUCUUAUUGGACUUAUAAUAUUCCAGCACACAAUUAUACCUCUUCAGCAUCUUGUGCGAUUUUCACUCAAUCUGGUUAGUCGAGCUUUUGAGUUUCAGGUUGAUGCUUUUGCUUGGAAACUUGGUUAUGUUGCACAUCUUCGAGCUUGUCAACAAGCUGCAGAAAGAAAACCUUUCGUCUAUGAACUCUGAUCAUUGGUAUUCGGCAUAUCAUUAUUCCCACUCUCCACUGGUUGAAAGGUUAGCUACUAUCGAAAAACUUGAAAAGAAAACAGACUAAACAAAUAGUACAUUGUGAAGUUCUGAUACACCAUGUAAGUCAUUUUCAAACACAUAUGUGUGAUGCUUUUUAACGUUUUGUUAGAAUGGAUUUUGUAUGACGGUGGUAGAUUAAGGAUUGAUUGCAUGUAAUGAUAUUUUCUUAACCAUGACAAAACUAAAGUAAACGAUUUUGGUUACUUUGUUGAGAAAACAAAUGCUGUUAUUGUGUAGGGAUAUUUUAGAGAGUCGGGAAUUUAAAAUUUCAGUAGGAAUCUCAAAUUCAAAAUCGGUAUUAAUGCUUAAUCCGUGUGAAGUGGAUUGCAAUGUAAUUUAAAAUUGUCUAAGAGAAACUCAAUGCCCAAAAGCUAAUUCUAGUGUUGCUAUUUAUACUACUUGAAUGAUAAUGGAAAAUGGUUGAGAAAAUCGAAGAACUCAUUUCAAUCAUUGUUGGUUUAUUUUUUUAUCUCAUUCUAAAAUUGCUUGAUUGAAUCUUAUUAAAUUUUACAGUUACGUACGUUCAAAGGUUUUAUUAAAUAGAUUUUCUAAAUUAUUGUGGAUCUUUUGUUUCAGGCAUUCAGGACUGUAUCAAGUUACUUUAUGCUUUUAUUUUGGAGUGUAACCAAGACAUAUGAAAUAUGCCAAGAAAAGCGAAUAUAUAGGUAGUUUUGUGCAAUAUAAGAAUACACGGCGAACAUAAUUGUUUGAAUUCAUAAUCAAAUAGAAAAAAAUAAAAUUCUAUAUUUUUUUUUUGUUGGACUUAACUAUUUUGAGUUGGUUUUAUUUAUUGCAUUGCUAAUUCUUCUUCUUCAUGGAGAUUAAUAGUAUUAUGUGAUCUUAUACCAAUAAAGUUGCAAUUGAUUUGGCAUGUCUGACUUGAAAAAGUGCUAGUUAUUUGAAUUUUAAGCUUUGUUUGGAUGCAAAAGUGUUAGUUAUUUGAGUUUCAAGUUUUGUUUGGAUGUAGAAGUACUAGUUAUUUGAUUUUUAUCCAAAUAUGUUGAUGCAACUCCAGGAAUUAGCACAUCACCUUCAGAAGACAAUAUGUGAUACUUCAAUGUAAUGAUUUUUGGUCCAAUGUUGUCCCUCUACGAAGGUAACAUAAUGACAUUUUUAUAUUACCUUGUUCCUUCAAGAAUGAUGUUUGCCUCUUAAUGAAUGCAUGAUUAAUCAACUAUUUAGUGCACCAUUUGGAUUCCAUUUGGUUUUACGAGUUGAUCCCAUCAAGUGGGUGUCUAAAGAUGAACAUAAUUUAUCUUUGAAGGUGGUUUGCCGCACCUGAAUGGCUCCCCCGUACUUUGUCACUGCAUAAGCAUCCGGGUAUAUGUGUAUGUUUGGAUUAAACUGAUGCUUUAUAUGUUUUCAAUACUGAAGUGAUCAUUUUUUUUAUAAUUAUGUCUUUUUGGCGUAUUAGAUUAAUCAUUUUUUUGGCUUAUUUGCAUUUCAUGUAGUUCUUUUGUGCUUCGAUGACACUUUUGUUAGUGUAGUUAUUUAUGAGAUGCUUUAGAAGGUGGUUGGAUC